CGAGCGAACAGAUAAGGAGCUUGCUCCUUUGACGUUAGCGGCGGACGGGUGAGUAACACGUGGGUAACCUACCUAUAAGACUGGAAUAACUCCGGGAAACCGGGGCUAAUGCCGGAUAACAUUUAGAACCGCAUGGUUCUAAAGUGAAAGAUGGUUUUGCUAUCACUUAUAGAUGGACCCGCGCCGUAUUAGCUAGUUGGUAAGGUAACGGCUUACCAAGGCAACGAUACGUAGCCGACCUGAGAGGGUGAUCGGCCACACUGGAACUGAGACACGGUCCAGACUCCUACGGGAGGCAGCAGUAGGGAAUCUUCCGCAAUGGGCGAAAGCCUGACGGAGCAACGCCGCGUGAGUGAUGAAGGUCUUCGGAUCGUAAAACUCUGUUAUUAGGGAAGAACAAAUGUGUAAGUAACUAUGCACGUCUUGACGGUACCUAAUCAGAAAGCCACGGCUAACUACGUGCCAGCAGCCGCGGUAAUACGUAGGUGGCAAGCGUUAUCCGGAAUUAUUGGGCGUAAAGCGCGCGUAGGCGGUUUCUUAAGUCUGAUGUGAAAGCCCACGGCUCAACCGUGGAGGGUCAUUGGAAACUGGGAAACUUGAGUGCAGAAGAGGAAAGUGGAAUUCCAUGUGUAGCGGUGAAAUGCGCAGAGAUAUGGAGGAACACCAGUGGCGAAGGCGACUUUCUGGUCUGUAACUGACGCUGAUGUGCGAAAGCGUGUGGAUCAAACAGGAUUAGAUACCCUGGUAGUCCACGCCGUAAACGAUGAGUGCUAAGUGUUAGGGGGUUUCCGCCCCUUAGUGCUGCAGCUAACGCAUUAAGCACUCCGCCUGGGGAGUACGACCGCAAGGUUGAAACUCAAAGGAAUUGACGGGGACCCGCACAAGCGGUGGAGCAUGUGGUUUAAUUCGAAAGCAACGCGAAGAACCUUACCAAAUCUUGACAUCCUUUGACAACUCUAGAGAUAGAGCCUUCCCCUUCGGGGGACAAAGUGACAGGUGGUGCAUGGUUGUCGUCAGCUCGUGUCGUGAGAUGUUGGGUUAAGUCCCGCAACGAGCGCAACCCUUAAACUUAGUUGCCAGCAUUUAGUUGGGCACUCUAAGUUGACUGCCGGUGACAAACCGGAGGAAGGUGGGGAUGACGUCAAAUCAUCAUGCCCCUUAUGAUUUGGGCUACACACGUGCUACAAUGGACAAUACAAAGGGCAGCUAAACCGCGAGGUCAUGCAAAUCCCAUAAAGUUGUUCUCAGUUCGGAUUGUAGUCUGCAACUCGACUACAUGAAGCUGGAAUCGCUAGUAAUCGUAGAUCAGCAUGCUACGGUGAAUACGUUCCCGGGUCUUGUACACACCGCCCGUCACACCACGAGAGUUUGUAACACCCGAAGCCGGUGGAGUAACCAUUUA
rnacentral:rRNA from 1 species